AUUGAAUCUGGCCUUGUUCGCGGCAAUGUUCAUCUUCAGCAUCUCAAUAGAGAAUUCACAGCAACAGCAGGAUUAUAUCUUCAUUAUUUUAUAAUUAAUGGAGCAAACAACAUAGAGAAAAGCCAAGUUACAGGAGAGCAAGAGGAGACAGCAUCUGCAACUGUGAGGAAGAUACGGUCUUCGCCGAUCAAAUUUUGGAAGUUGGAAGCAUGAAGCUUGUCAAUCACUACUGGACCAGGAUUUGCCAGAACAAGCUGUGAAACAUUGCAGGAACUUCAAGCUUUUGUACAAAUCUUCCAAGGCAUGGAUGCCGCUAGUGUCGAUAUCAGUAACAGCUGAAGCAAACAUAAUACAUGAAAAAGAAAAUAAGUUUCGAGAAAACAAGCUUGAUGAUAUAGAGGAAAGUAGCAUAUAUUGAACUGCUUGA